UGCCCGACAUCAAGGUGUAGUGAUGUUAGGAAAAAUACCUUUCUUUGAACAGUAGUUGGUGUCCUAAAGUUGGUAAUUUCUGUGUCAUUUGGUCUCCCGUAGGUUUUUAUUUUUCUUCCUCUCUUAGGAUUUUUAUUCCUCCCUAUAUUUUUUUCCCAAUGAUUUUUUUUCUCCCUUAGGAUUUUUGUAAAUCCUAUAGGAAUUUUUUUUCAUCCUUAAUGAUUCUUUUACGGUCAGA
rnacentral:lncRNA from 1 species